CCUUGAGCUAGAGGUGGCUGCAGUGGAGCACCAGUUCAUCUUCAUUGAUGAGGUUGGGUUCAACCUCACAAAAAGACGAAAGAGGGGAAGGAAUGUCAUCGGCCAGCGUGCCAUUGUUGAAGUCCCUGGCCAGCGCAGAGGGAACCUCAUAAUGUGUGCAGCGAUUACCCACCACGGCGUCAUCAUCACCAUGCUACCCUUGGCCCCUACAACACCGCCCAUCUGAUCAUUCCUGGACACCCUAGACAACACUCUCAUUCCACCAGAUCAGGUUCACUCACCCUCGUCCUCCGUUCAGUCGGCUGGGCUCGUCCUCCGGACCUCUCCUCUUCGGGCUUCCCACACGGCGUCCUCCCAGUUCUCCCUUGCAUCCUCCCUUCCUCGGCCCCAGUGUUCCCCGGCUCCCUGGUUCCGGUCCCGUCAGUUUCCCUGUGCCAGUGUUUCCCCGGCAUCCUCCUCUCCCUCCACUCCAGUCCCUCAACCCCCUUUUUCCCUAAAUAAACCUGCGUUUGGGUCCUCUCUGUCCCCACACCACCCUCGUAACAGGGGGAUUACGUAACAAGCAACAAAGGCAUUAAAGAAAAAUAGUUAAGUCUUUA